AGAUUGAACGCUAGCGGGAUGCUUUACACAUGCAAGUCGAACGGCAGCGCGGACUUCGGUCUGGCGGCGAGUGGCGAACGGGUGAGUAAUAUAUCGGAACGUGCCCAGUAGCGGGGGAUAACUACGCGAAAGCGUGGCUAAUACCGCAUACGCCCGUACGGGGGAAAGGGGGGGAUUCUUCGGAACCUCUCACUAUUGGAGCGGCCGAUAUCAGAUUAGCUAGUUGGUGAGGUAAUGGCUCACCAAGGCGACGAUCCGUAACUGGUCUGAGAGGAUGAUCAGUCACACUAGGAACUGAGACACGG
rnacentral:rRNA from 1 species